UGAUUAGUCAAGGCAAGGUUAGAGCUGAGCUUUUAACUCAAACUCACAAGGGAAAGUCCUCCCUAGAGGCAGUAUACAAAUCAUCUGGUGGGUGCAGUGGGGUGGAAAGAGCCAAGGAGAAGUUGGGGACCUCUCUUGUGAACAAAACGACAUAAAUAUAUUUUAUGUUUUAAGGAAAUCAAUACAGGUAAAAUCUAUGUUUCCUGAGUGGCAGAAGGGCCAUAUGCAGAUGUUUCCUGCUGUUUCCUCUACUAGACUUCUACUUCUUUAGGACUUUCUCAGGGAAAGCUGCACCUGUGCACAUGACAAGAGCAUGAGCUACACUUUCUUCACUUUGUUUGAGGGCUUCCUUGACAAUGGCACUGAUGUGACUCCAUCCAGCAUCCAUUUCUGUGAGAACUCUAUUUGGCAUAUCAUCACUGUGGGCAUGAACAUAACGGAGACUUUCAUAGGAUGCAAUGGUUAA
rnacentral:lncRNA from 1 species